GUUGAGUCUCCUGCUGAUUUAUUCCCUAGUUCUAGGCCUUGAGCACAGCGGCCCUCUUGUUUUCAUGUUUCAUGCUCUGACUGUGGGUGUCACAAACUCACCAUUACCCGGCGCCCGCGAUGCUCCACUCCUCCGGCGACGCGGGCAGACCGCAUUGCGUGACUGCAUUGCCUCAGUCCUUGGGUUGCGAGGCCCGAAAGCUCCAUGUGGCCGCGCGGC